rnacentral:rRNA from 1 species
CCUACGGGGGGCAGCAGUGAGGAAUAUUGGUCAAUGGCCGUAAGGCUGAACCAGCCAAGUAGCGUGAGGGAAGACUGCCCUAUGGGUUGUAAACCUCUUUUAUGCGGGGAUAAAGGUGUCCACGUGUGGAUGUUUGCAGGUACCGCAUGAAUAAGGCCCGGCUAAUUCCGGGCCAGCAGCCGCGGUAAUACGGAUGGUCCGGGCGUUAUGCGGAUUGAUUGGGUUUAGGGGGAGCGUAGGCCGGUCUUUAAGCUUGCCGUGAAAUUUUGUGGCUCAACCAUGAGAGUGCGGGGCGAACUGGAGACCGUGAGUGCGCGGAAGGCAGGCGGAAUUCGUGGUGUAGCGGUGAAAUGCGUAGAUAUGAGGAAGAACCCCGAUUGCGAAGGCAGCCUGCCGCAGCGUUACUGACGCUGAAGCUCGAAAGCGCGGGUAUCGAACAGGAUUAGAUACCCUGGUAGUC